rnacentral:rRNA from 1 species
UACGUAGGGUGCAAGCGUUGUCCGGAAUUAUUGGGCGUAAAGAGCUCGUAGGCGGUCUGUCACGUCGGCUGUGAAAACCCGAGGCUCAACCUCGGGCCUGCAGUCGAUACGGGCAAACUAGAGUACUGCAGGGGAGACUGGAAUUCCUGGUGUAGCGGUGAAAUGCGUAGAUAUCUGGAGGAAUACCGGUGGCGAAGGCGGCAUCCUGGACCGACAUUGACGCUGAACGGCGAAAGCUAGGGGAGCAAACGGG